rnacentral:lncRNA from 1 species
UGUAUCUUUAACCGAGAUCCACCUUGAAGAUGGUAGAGACUUUUAGCGUGCCUCACUCACUUGGAAAUAGCAAGAUAGUGUAUAAAGAUAAACUCUGUGAGCUUUAAUUCAAGAAGGAAAGUGGGAAUCCACUGGAAUCAUGAAGGACAUCCCAGAUCCCGGGGAGGAGAACAAAAGCAAACAGCCCCUCUGACAGCAUCUGGCUGAUAAAACAGUAGAAAAGGAGUUCGAGAUAGGAGUGAAUACUGUGACCUGGGGUUAUCAUUUCAUCUUUACAAUAUGCUUAGCACUAUGUAAGAAAUUGGAAAUACAAGAAGACAGAGUUCUUAUUCUCAAGAAACUCAGAAUCUCCUGAACCAAGAUUGAAGUUGGGAAAAGCAAUCACUGUCAGAAAGCAAACCCUCUUGUGCCUGGUGCUCAGCUGGAAGAUUGUUCUGGACUCUGGGUUUAGUGAAUAA